rnacentral:rRNA from 1 species
UACGGAGGGUGCAAGCGUUAUCCGGAUUUACUGGGUUUAAAGGGUGCGUAGGUGGGUAGGUAAGUCAGUGGUGAAAUCCCCGAGCUUAACUUGGGAACUGCCAUUGAUACUAUCAAUCUUGAAUACCGUGGAGGUCAGCGGAAUAUGUCAUGUAGCGGUGAAAUGCUUAGAUAUGACAUAGAACACCAAUUGCGAAGGCAGCUGGCUACACGAAUAUUGACACUGAGGCACGAAAGCGUGGGGAUCAAACAGGA